GAUGGUUUGGAUGCUUUUUAUUCACUGUCUUAUUUGUGGUUUGACGCCGUGGGACUUUUAUGUCUAUUACUGGUAGCCGCUGUAGCAAGCUUUUUUCUGGGUCGGCAGAAGAUGGAGGAUUCGGACAGUCGUUACUUGUUCAGUUUUGGGGACAGAAUAUGUCCCUGUCUACCUGAGAAUAUCAAGCAAGUUGUCUGCUGUGGAAAUAGUUUAGAAAAGAAACGCCACAAUGAGGUGUACAUGACAUCGAGGGAGCAGGACACAGCCAGUUCUGACAGUGCACAGUUACGACGUCUACUAGACACAAAGCAGGAUUGUUAAUGGAUCCAGUGGAUGGACGUCUAUCGCAAUCUCCCUUUGGUGCUUGAGCAGUACCUCUCUGAUUUGGCAAAAUAAUCAUAACAUGAAUACUGUAAUAUCCAUCUUAAUCAAGGUUAUAUAAUCUGUACUUCAGUAUGUGUCGAACCGGAAUACCUGAAGUGACUCUUCACUAACUAAGUUAGAAAAUGGUAACAACCAGUAUAAUUUAUUUUUAUUUUUCAAAAUUCAGAUUGAUAUCAGGAAACAAAAUCACGUUAACGACCUGCAUUAAUGUUGGUACCAGUUUAAAAAAUAACGUAAGCAACCUAUUCUGAAGUUGAAACGACUACAAAGUCACGUAUAAAUCUAAACAUUGUCGCUGUGGUGGUGGGAGAGAUUGUGUCAAUAAACCAGGCAGUGCUAUAUAUCCUUCUACUAUCGUCGUCAUUACUAAAAAUUGAUAAAUAUUCAACGCCUGCGUGCUAAUUUCAACAAAAUAUCUCCUGUGCCUUCCCCUUUUUCAAGAACACUUGGCUGGCGAAGAUGGGUUUGAAUCGUUGAUAUAUCGUAUGGUCAUUACCACGAGCAGAUACUUCCAGUGCUUGAAAUGUUUCAAGAUAGAAAGCUGUGUUAGAUCGCAGGUGAGAGGUAUGCUUCUCUUCAUACCGACAGGAGACAGCAUGACUGGUACCACAAGUGUGCUGUGAAACGAUUCUACCUGGGUACUUGGUUUAACUUAUAUAUUUUAGGUUUAUAAAUACUUUUCCCUUUUGUAUUUUUUA